rnacentral:rRNA from 1 species
AGGACGAACGCUGGCGGCGUGCUUAACACAUGCAAGUCGAGCGGAAAGGCCCUUCGGGGUACUCGAGCGGCGAACGGGUGAGUAACACGUGAGCAACCUGCCCUUAGCUCCGGGAUAGCUCCGGGAAACCGGAAUUAAUACCGGAUACAACCACGGCCGACAUCUGCUGUGGUGGAAGGGAUUCCGGCUAAGGAUGGGCUCGCGGCCUAUCAGCUAGUUGGUGGAGUAACGGCCCACCAAGGCGACGACGGGUAGCCGGCCUGAGAGGGCGACCGGCCACACUGGGACUGAGACACGGCCCAGACUCCUACGGGAGGCAGCAGUGGGGAAUAUUGCGCAAUGGGCGAAAGCCUGACGCAGCGACGCCGCGUGGGGGAUGAAGGCCUUCGGGUUGUAAACCCCUUUCAGCAGGGACGAAGCGAAAGUGACGGUACCUGCAGAAGAAGCGCCGGCUAACUACGCGCCAGCAGCCGC